UACGUAAGGUCCGAGCGUUGUCCGGAUUUAUUGGGCGUAAAGGGAACGUAGGUGGUUAGUAAAGUUAGAAGUGAAAGGCUGUAGCUCAACUAUAGUAUGCUUUUCAAACUGUUUAACUUGAGAGAUGGAAGGGAAAGUGGAAUUCCAUGUGUAGCGGUGAAAUGCGUAGAUAUAUGGAGGAACACCAGUGGCGAAGGCGGCUCUCUGGUUUGUAACUGACGCUGAGGCUCGAAAGCGAGGGGAGCAAACAGG
rnacentral:rRNA from 1 species